GCACUGCGGCCAUGCUCCAGGUAAGGUGCAGUGCGGCUCUGCUGUCCAGCCCUGCUGCGCGCUGGGAUGCCUGGGGCCCAGCGUGGGGACAGCGCUGCACCCCUGCUCCAGCUGCAUGUCUCCUGGCGCUCGGCACAGCCGCCGCACCAUGUGGCAUUCCCAGGGCCGGCCGGAGGCUGCUCUUGCCCGACUGCUGCUGCUGCUGGGCCUCCUGGCGUGCUGCUCGGCAGGGCUGGGGGAGCCGGGUCCCACCAUCGAUGGGCAGCGGCUGGCAGUGUGCACGCUGCGGGAGGGGGAGAGCCGUGUCUUCUCCUGCCGGGCUCCCCGGCCGGCCCCGGGCGCCAUGCUGGCCUGGUACCUCGAUGGCCAAAAGCAGGAGGCAAACUGCUCGGCCGUGGGCGCCGCCAGCACCCUCACUCUCACCGCCCGGCGCAGCGACCGCCAGCUCAACUGCUCCCUGACGGACCCAGCCUCUGGGCAGACCUACAACUCCUCCGUCCUCCUCGACGUGCAGUAUAAGCCAGAGAUCCUGCAGGCAGAUGCCCACUACCAAGAGGCUGAGGGCAAGGGCCUCCUCCUGGUGCUCUUUGUGCUGGUGGAAGCCAACCCACCCGCCAGCAUCACUUGGGUGGACCAGGAUGGGCAGGUGAUGGCCAACACCUCAGAGUUCCACCUCCUGGACACCACACACUACCCGGGGGUGGCCAACCACUCGCUCCGCAUCCACCUCGACAGUGCAGCUGGCAACUUCUCUGUCAGCGCUGCCAACAGCCUGGGUAUCACCACCACCUCCCUCCUGCCGCCAGGUCUGCUGGAUGCCCAUGUGGAGCUGCCCCUCCUGGGUGUCGCCGUCGGAGCAGCCCUGGCCCUGUCUGCCCUGCUCAGCCUGGGCUCCUGUGCCGCCAGCCUGGCGUGCCAACGGCCCAAGCCGGUGCCUGGCGAGGGGCAAGUGGGAGGGCGCAGCCCACUCAGCCGGUGCUCCCGUUGCAGCGGCCCUGAGCUCCCACAGCCCGAGGGUGCACGUCUGCCCCGCCAGACCCGGUCACUGCCACCUGACCUGCACCUCAGCGACCUCACGCAGGAGGCCAGAGCUUCCCCCAGGGAUGCAGGAGCUGGUUCUGGGGGAGAGGAGAGCACAUGGCCGGGGCUGGAGAACUCCCUGGUCCUCAGCAAGCUCGGUUUUAUCCAGCUCCCAAAGUCUGGGCGCAUCUACAAAGUGCCCAGUGUAAGCAGUGAGGAGAUCUGGCUGUGAGACGUGGUGUGGUGCCUUGAGGCAGGGCUGCCCAGCCCCAGUGGCACUGCAUCAACUGAGGAGAGCCACGGGCAAACAGAACACUGAGGAAAACCACAUAUUGACAACCAAAAGGAAACAAAGCUUCCCCCGAAGGGAACUGAACCAAAGCCUGCACCAAGCCUUGCCAUAGAUCCAUUGCAGUUUAAAACUACGGCCUAAAGAAAAACGUUACGUGCAGCAAGUGCAGCCUCCCCCUCCCUGUCUCACUGUGAUGUUGUGCUGCUUGGAGUUCUCCGUCAGCCAAAGGGAGAGCACGGUGGGAUCCGACUGCUUGGUCGAUGGCUCAUCCAGCACCAGCAGGCCCAGGUUAUCAGGACUGCCGUCGGGACGGGGAACCUGCAGACAAACAGAGGCCCCGUUUCCUGCGGGAGUCUAGGGCAGCGGACAUCGGGCUGUUUUGGAGGGAGCCUCCCUAUGGUUUAAAAACCAGGCCCUAAAAGGCAUUGGCAGGCCUGCUCUCUUGAAUACGAGUUGUUAGUACAGUGCUGCCUGAAAAGUACAAGGAGUUGGACAAGGCAAAUGUGGCCCUGGCUCCAAAUUAUGCCUGAGAAGCGACUGACAGCUCAGGGGCAGGGCUCACCGGGCUGUAGGGCCAGGCUUCAGCCAAUACCACAUCCCAUUUCAGCUCAGGCACACCACAUACAGAGGGGAGCAAAGCAACUGUACCUUUAGGAAUGCGUCAAUGUCUCCAACUGCAGGAAUAAAGUCUGGGAUGAAAGGCU